UACAGAGGGUGCGAGCGUUAAUCGGAAUUACUGGGCGUAAGGCGUGCGUAGACGGUAGCGUAAGUCAGAUGUGAAAGCCCCGGGCUCAACCUGGGAACUGCAUUUGAGACUGCUCUGCUCGGGUGCGGAAGAGGGAAGCGGAAUUUCCGGUGUAGCGGUGAAAUGCGUAGAUAUCGGAAGGAACACCAGUGGCGAAAGCGGCUUCCUGGUCCGACACCGACGUUCAGGCACGAAAGCGUGGGGAGCAAACAGG
rnacentral:rRNA from 1 species